AAGUAUGUGCUUACAUUCAGGAAAAGCCUAUAAACAUAUGAUGAAGUGAAAGGUAGGCAACGAGUAUGGUCAAUAUGAUAUUCUUCUGAGGCCAUUCUUGAACCCCUACUUGAACUAGCAUGGUGGGAAUGACUUAACUAAGUACAAUGGUGCCAAUAUGAUAUUCUUCUAAGGCAUCAUUUUCUAGAGGCCAAAUUAGAUGGGUAAUUACAAAAGUUGUAAAUGGCUAAAGCGUUAUCCUCUCAUCAUUAUUGUUGCUAGCCAAUAUGAUAUUCUUCUGAGGUGGGCUUGGUAAUGGUGAGUCUCCCAUACCCUACUAAGAGUUUCAUCCAAAACUCUCGAAUUCCAAUGAGGGAUAUGGAAUUUGCCAAAAAUAGUGGGUGGUGCUAUUUGAUUUAAAGACCCGGAUCAAAUGGCUUAAAAUCAAUCAAUUUAUAUUCGUUAUGUAUUUGUUUACCAAUAUAUUUGCAAACGCUAUCCAAAACUUGACAAAGAAAAGCCAAAUGCUUUAGUUUCCAGACUUGGUACAACAAUCCCAAAGAUUGUCUUAAAUGGAUUGUAUAUGUACCUAAGUAGUCUAAUCCUCACAAUCUUCCUAUUGAUAAUGUAUCAUUGGAAGAACAUGUUAGAUAAGUCUAUCAUAAAGAGGACAACACUUUUAAAGUCAUAAUUCUUCAAUUACAAAUCGUUGUAUGAAGAAAUAAGAGUUGCUUUGAACAACCCUUAAGUAACGCAAACAUUAGUGCUUGUUUCUUUGUUACAUGAACAAGGAACUUAAGAAGAAAGCACAAAGGCAUGGACACUUUAUGUGACAUGAUUCUUCACUUACAAAUUGUUGUAUGAAGAAAUGAGAGUUGCCUUGAACAACUCUUGAAAGUUUGUAAUUAUGUUUAGAACAUAAUGGUUGGUUGACAAAAAUAGUCCAUCGACAUGGACUUAUGAUGAUUUUGAAUCAUUGAGUGUUGAAGUGUUAAAACCACUUCUAGAAACGGAAACUAGGCAAGGACUUCACCUUUGUGUCCCUAUCCAAAUGGUUCACUAAGUUUAUUGUAAACUAUAUAGUGAACAAUAACCACACGCUCUCCAAAUCGUUUGAUGUGUAUAACACAAUUGAAAUAAGUUUCAAGAGAGACAGUGGGAGUUUAGGGACCAUGACUAUUGUAGACAAAGGAGAAGUCAAAUGAAGAAAGCGAAAUAACUCCAAGGGAACAAACUUUCUUUAUGAAAGGAUGGACAAUGGAAGGGGUAUUUGCAAGAAAUGUCUUGCAAGUGUCAAGAACACACCUUUUGAAGGUGUUGUAAAUUGUUCUUGAAUAGUUCAAAACAGUUGGUUCUUCUACUUGAAUGCUUGAUUCCGUAUUAAUAACUAUGUUUUACAAUCAUUGUAAAAGUGUGACUAAUAAGAAGUAGAAGAUAUAUGAGAGAAGAAAAAGGUGCUUCACAUUCAGAACGUGAAUAAAAUAAAGAUCUCUGCGAAAGCAGAUAGUACUUACUUCCUCAUAUGA
rnacentral:lncRNA from 1 species